rnacentral:rRNA from 1 species
AUGGGGUCAGCGGGAAGCAGAGGAACGACGAAGCGAUCGGCGGCAGCCAACGCGCUGGUGCAGAACCUCACCAACUCGGCGUGGAUGUACCUGGCGCCGAUGGCGUUCGGGGUGGCGAGGAGCCUCUACAACCAGCACCUCCGGCGGCGGCUGGGCCGGCACGUACCGUCCGUCGACCCCUUCAUCACCGUCGACGUCGUCGCCAGGCCGGGGGACCCGCGCCCCUACUACGCCUACCACGACGUGGAGGCCAAGUCGAGUGACGCCUACGCGGAGGUGCUGGCGUACCUGAGCGCCGCGUGCUCGCGGGAGGCGCGGAGGCUCCGCGCGGAGGGCGCCGCCGAGGGCCACGGCUUCGUGCUCGGCCUCCGCGACGGCCAGGAGGUGGCCGACGAGUUCAAGGGCGUCACCGUGUGGUGGUCGCUGUGCCGCCGUCCCCGGCCGACGCCAGGAGGCGCUGCCGCCUCACGUUCCACGAGUCCCACCGGAGGCUUGUCGUCGACGAGUACCUGCCCCACGUCCGCCGCACCGGACAGGAGCUCGUCUCCAGCAACCGGCCACGCAGGCUCUACUCCAUCAAGAAGGAGCUCAACUACCAUUCUAGGAGGGAGGAGGUAUGGAGCUACACAGACUUCGACCACCCAGCCACGUUCGAGACCCUGGCCAUGA